UUGGGGAUUUAUAUAAAAGGUUGGGCCUGCCCGGUGAUCUGAAAUGGUUUAACGGCUGCGAUUGAAACCGUACUAAGGUAGCAUAAUAAUUUGCCCUUUAAUUGGGGGAGAGAAUGAAUGGUUUGACGGUAAAAAAGCUGUUUUAAAAAUAAAAAAAGAAGUUAACUUUUAAGUGAAAAGGCUUAAGUUUUUAUAAAAGACGAGAAGACCCCGUCGAGCUUAAUUAGAAUAACUUAAAUGUAGGUUAUUUAAAAUUUUAUUGGGGCAAUAGAAAAUGAAAUGAAUCAUUUUUUUUAUUAUAAGGAUCCAGUUUUGACUGAAAAAAGCAAAAGCUACCGCGGGGAUAACAGGGUAAUUUUUUCUGAGAGUUCAUAUUUAAAAAGAAGUUUGCUACCUCGAUGUUGGAUUAAAAUUUCUUUAUGCUUGCAGCAGGUAUAAUAGU
rnacentral:rRNA from 1 species